rnacentral:piRNA from 1 species
UAAAGCUUACAGGUGCACGUAUGCAAUGGG